rnacentral:misc_RNA from 1 species
ACAAUUGACUAAUACUAUAGAAUCUCUCCAUUUACUGGCGGACUAAUCAACUAACUGUCUAUUCCUUAUUCAUAACAAAUAGGCACCCUAAAAAAUAGCCUAAAAUUCUGAGUAAGUGGCCAACUACUUUUCCGAUCACAAUCAACAAUUGCAUUAAAAAAAGCAUGCCCAUAUAUAGGCAUGCAUGUGGCUUUUCCAUGUACAUUCAUACCACCCAAAACCUUGUCCUUUGGCACAAGUUCCAACCAAUAGUUUAGCAGCUACCCACAAAAAAACCACCAUUAACGGAAAAGAAAUACAUAAAUUCAAAGCAAGAACUUAGUACCUGCGAACUGGCUCUGCUAAUUCA